GUGCCAUUGGUGUAAAGGUAACACGCGUCCAGCUUGUCUUUGUGAUCAAUUGUAAGUUGGACGAUUCUGGGGUUCGAGUCCCUGAUGGUGCA